rnacentral:rRNA from 1 species
UGUGCGUAAUACUUCAUGAUCUCGAGAGAGCAAAGCCGCAAGGCGCCUUGCAGCAGCGAUAUUCCUAUCAGGUAGUUGGCGGGGUAAUGGCCCACCAAGCCGAAGACGGGUAGCCGGUAUGAGAGUACGGCCGGCCACAUCGGGACUGAGACACUGCCCGGACUCCUACGGGAGGCUGCAGUAACGAAUAUUCCGCAAUGGGCGAAAGCCUGACGGAGCAAUGCCGCGUGUGGGAUGAAGCGGUUUCGCCGUGUAAACCACUGUCAGAAGAUAGAAAAGAUGAUCAUCUUCAGAGGAAGGGGCGACUAACUCUGUGCCAGCAGUCGCGGUAAGACAGAGGCCCGAGCGUUAGUCGGAAUCACUGGGCUUAAAGGGUGCGUAGGCGGGCGCGUAAGUGCUUUGUGAAAGCCCCUGGGCUCAACCCAGGAAUUGCAGGGCAUACUGCGCGUCUCGAGGAAGCUAGAGGCCGGUAGAACGAUCGGUGGAGCGGUG